UCUUGAUCAUGUAUGUCUUUAAGUCAGCUUGGGUAAGUCUAGUGUCAUCUAAGUCUGAUCAGAAGUCAAUUAGGUCUUUUUAGGCUUGGUUAAGUCUUAUUAGAAGUUUAAAGUGUAUGUAUUGAGUCUAUUGACAAAGUCUAGGUCUGAUCAGAUUCAGAAUUUGGUUGUAGACUUAGCUAUUAUCUAGUUGGCUAGAUAAGACUCCUCAUUACCUGCUUUAAGUCAUAGAGUCUGGUACUUUGACCGGUUAGAUCUGAAUAGUUGGGAUUUGGCUAAAACAGGUUGUUUAGGGUAGGGAUCAAUUAAGCCCGGAGCCCGAAACCCGUUCCGAAUCUGCCCGAAAAUAAUAAGGACAUGGGCCUAAAAAAUAUAGGCCAUGUCCCCAUUCACCAUUCUUUCUAUCCACCUUUGUUUAAUCUUUAUUUCUUUGUGUUUUCUUUAUUAUUUAACCCACAAACACAUCCAAAUCUAUAGAUAUCUUCAUGGUAUCAGAGUAUAAGAUCUAGAGGAUCUUGUGUUUUUCAUUCCGCUGUGAAAUCGAAACAUAUUCCCUCUCGGUUGUGGGUAUACCGAAGAGGAGCCUGCUCGUUUCAUUUUUCAGAAUUUUUUUUUCUCCCUUUUGGUCAUCCAUUCAAACCAAAAGAAGAGCUUUCUUCAAGUGAAUCGUUGGUCAUUCGUUCAAGCCACAAUUCACCAUAUUUUUCUUGUCUCUCUCGAUUUUUUCAUUUCAAAUCGAGAAGAAUUCCUUUGUCCUAUCCCUUUAUCUCCACUACGUGUGAGUAUUGCGAUAGCAAUUGGGAGUACGAAGAGGUUUAUGAUGAACCAGAAUACAGAGAGCAUUGGGAUGUCGAAGACGUCUUAGCCACAAUACCAAAGCCCCUACGAGAGACGUUGGUGCAAAACGGCAAUGCAAACAAUAUAGAGUUAAGUAUUUCUCUUCUUGAAGAAUUAUUUCGAACUAAUGAGUUUUUUGAAAUGGUACAAAAGGCACAGAAGGAAAGCAAAGCAAACCUCUCUAAAGAUACGGAGACAAUGGAUGGAGAAAUACAAACCAAGUAUACAAAUCAUGAGAAGGACCGAGACUUGGAUGGAACAAACUCGGAAAAAGAAGGAAAAGAGAUGGAUGAGAUGGUGAAUGACCCCAAAAUGGAGGCAAUGAACCCCGAAAAAGAGGCAUCACACUCAUCCAACAUCAUUCCUCAUCCGAGCAUAACAAAGAAUCCGAGCAUCUCCUUUAUAUGGAGAGACAAUCGAGUUUGUAAUUUCUUCUCUUCUCCCAUAUCUUUUGAUUUUUGUGUCCCAAAUGAUAUGUUUGGUUGUCUUAGUGUUAAUGAUCAGAAAAUCCAACAAAUAAUCAUGAAGCCUCACGGUGUCGAGAAGCUCACGAGUCACGAGUGAGGGAGAAUGGCAUGAUACACUUGUAUGCUUCUCUACCGAAAAGUAUACAUUCGAACACAACUUGUUGCCACUGUCUAUGAGUUUCAACAACUCUAGGCAUGAUAUCUUCAGGAGGCAAUCCUCUCACCUCUGGAAACUACUUGGGUUCAGAUAAGAGAUCAAAACGUUCAUCAAAUGUAAAGGCUGCAGUUAAGGACGGAAACUGGUACUUCUCGGAGGUUCGAUCGGCGGGUAUUCAGGUCGUCUUAACCAGGAUCAGCUUGGAUGGAGCUGGGCAAGAUAUGCUUGAGUUCUCAUCAAAAUCCACUUGGCACCUGAUUCGGACCAGAUCCCCACCAGCGCCAUGGUCCAAAUUGGUCUGGGCAAAGCUAACGACUCUGAGACUUAGCUUCUCCUUAUGUCAGGCUCUUUUACAACGGCUUCCGGCUAUGGAUCGGCAUGCAAACUACCUGUCCUUUAUGUCAAAGGAAAAAUGAAUCACUCUUAUUACUCUCAUUUAUCUCUCCUUUGUCGGAUGGAAUUGGGAAUGUGAAUAAUUCAUAAUUUACUGAUCUCAAAUGGCGGUGGUUUUAUAUAA